GCUAUCACUCCUACGGGGAGGGCAGCAGUGGGGGAAUAUUNCACAAUGGGCGCAAGCCUGAUGCAGCCAUGCCGCGUGUAUGAAGAAGGCCUUCGGGUUGUAAAGUACUUUCAGCAGUAGGAAGGUGGGUAUGUUAAUAGCAUACUCAUUUGACGUUUAGCUGCAGAAGAAGCACCGGCUAACUCCGUGCCAGCAGCCGCGGUAAUACGGAGGGUGCGAGCGUUAAUCGGAAUUACUGGGCGUAAAGCGCAUGCAGGUGGUUUUGUUAAAGUCAGAUGUGAAAGCCCCGGGGCUCAACCUCGGAAUUGCAUUUGAAACUGGCAAACUAGAGUACUGUAGAGGGGGGUAGAAUUUCAGGUGUAGCGGUGAAAUGCGUAGAGAUCUGAAGGAAUACCGGUGGCGAAGGCGGCCCCCUGGACAAAGACUGACGCUCAGAUGCGAAAGCAUGGGGAGCAAACAGGAUUAGAUACCCUGGUAG
rnacentral:rRNA from 1 species